ACGUAGGGACCAAGCGUUGUUCGGAUUUACUGGGCGUAAAGGGCGCGUAGGCGGCCUAGCAAGUCACUUGUGAAAUCUCCGGGCUUAACUCGGAACUGCCAAGUGAAACUGCUGGGCUAGAGUGCAGAAGGGGCAAUCGGAAUUCUUGGUGUAGCGGUGAAAUGCGUAGAUAUCAAGAGGAACACCUGAGGUGAAGACGGGUUGCUGGGCUGACACUGACGCUGAGGCGCGAAAGCCAGGGGAGCAAACGGGA
rnacentral:rRNA from 1 species